UACAUAAACUAGGUGAUGGAGGAAAUUGAUUUAGCAGCUUUUCUACAUAAACUAGGUGAUGGAGGACAUUGAUUUAGCAGCUUUUCUACAUAAACUAGGUGAUGGAGGAAAUUGAUUUAGCAGCUUUUCUACAUAAACUAGGUGAUGGAGGAAAUUGAUUUAGCAGCUUUUCUACAUAAACUAGGUGAUGGAGGAAAUUGAUUUAGCAGCUUUUCUACAUAAACUAGGUGAUGGAGGAAAUUGAUUUAGCAGCUUUUCUACAUAAACUAGGUGAUGGAGGAAAUUGAUUUAGCAGCUUUUCUACAUAAACUAGGUGAUGGAGGAAAUUGAUUUAGCAGCUUUUCUACAUAAACUAGGUGAUGGAGGAAAUUGAUUUAGCAGCUUUUCUACAUAAACUAGGUGAUGGAGGAAAUUGAUUUAGCAGCUUUUCUACAUAAACUAGGUGAUGGAGGAAAUUGAUUUAGCAGCUUUUCUACAUAAACUAGGUGAUGGAGGACAUUGAUUUAGCAGCUUUUCUACAUAAACUAGGUGAUGGAGGACAUUGAUUUAGCAGCUUUUCUACAUAAACUAGGUGAUGGAGGACAUUGAUUUAGCAGCUUUUCUACAUAAACUAGGUGAUGGAGGACAUUGAUUUAGCAGCUUUUCUACAUAAACUAGGUGAUGGAGGACAUUGAUUUAGCAGCUUUUCUACAUAAACUAGGUGAUGGAGGAAAUUGAUUUAGCAGCUUUUCUACAUAAACUAGGUGAUGGAGGAAAUUGAUUUAGCAGCUUUUCUACAUAAACUAGGUGAUGGAGGACAUUGAUUUAGCAGCUUUUCUACAUAAACUAGGUGAUGGAGGACAUUGAUUUAGCAGCUUUUCUACAUAAACUAGGUGAUGGAGGACAUUGAUUUAGCAGCUUUUCUACAUAAACUAGGUGAUGGAGGAAAUUGAUUUAGCAGCUUUUCUACAUAAACUAGGUGAUGGAGGACAUUGAUUUAGCAGCUUUUCUACAUAAACUAGGUGAUGGAGGAAAUUGAUUUAGCAGCUUUUCUACAUAAACUAGGUGAUGGAGGAAAUUGAUUUAGCAGCUUUUCUACAUAAACUAGGUGAUGGAGGACAUUGAUUUAGCAGCUUUUCUACAUAAACUAGGUGAUGGAGGAAAUUGAUUUAGCAGCUUUUCUACAUAAACUAGGUGAUGGAGGACAUUGAUUUAGCAGCUUUUCUACAUAAACUAGGUGAUGGAGGAAAUUGAUUUAGCAGCUUUUCUACAUAAACUAGGUGAUGGAGGACAUUGAUUUAGCAGCUUUUCUACAUAAACUAGGUGAUGGAGGACAUUGAUUUAGCAGCUUUUCUACAUAAACUAGGUGAUGGAGGAAAUUGAUUUAGCAGCUUUUCUACAUAAACUAGGUGAUGGAGGACAUUGAUUUAGCAGCUUUUCUACAUAAACUAGGUGAUGGAGGAAAUUGAUUUAGCAGCUUUUCUACAUAAACUAGGUGAUGGAGGACAUUGAUUUAGCAGCUUUUCUACAUAAACUAGGUGAUGGAGGAAAUUGAUUUAGCAGCUUUUCUACAUAAACUAGGUGAUGGAGGACAUUGAUUUAGCAGCUUUUCUACAUAAACUAGGUGAUGGAGGAAAUUGAUUUAGCAGCUUUUCUACAUAAACUAGGUGAUGGAGGACAUUGAUUUAGCAGCUUUUCUACAUAAACUAGGUGAUGGAGGAAAUUGAUUUAGCAGCUUUUCUACAUAAACUAGGUGAUGGAGGACAUUGAUUUAGCAGCUUUUCUACAUAAACUAGGUGAUGGAGGAAAUUGAUUUAGCAGCUUUUCUACAUAAACUAGGUGAUGGAGGAAAUUGAUUUAGCAGCUUUUCUACAUAAACUAGGUGAUGGAGGAAAUUGAUUUAGCAGUUUCUUUACGUAAACUCUGUGGAAGAAUUUGGGGGAAAGAUCUUCAAGUUGAGAAAUAGCUUGAGUCAUGGGACAAUAUUACAGUACAUUUACCAUCUAAUGCACUCUUGAUAACUAU